AGAGUUUGAUCCUGGCUCAGAACGAACGCUGGCGGCAGGCUUAACACAUGCAAGUCGAACGCUCCGCAAGGAGAGUGGCAGACGGGUGAGUAACGCGUGGGAACAUACCCCUCGGUUCAGAAUAACUCAGGGAAACUUGAGCUAAUACCGAAUACGGUCGAGAGGCGAAAGAUUUAUCGCCGAGGGAUUGGCCCGCGUCCGAUUAGCUAGUUGGUGAGGUAAUGGCUCACCAAGGCGACGAUCGGUAGCUGGUCUGAGAGGAUGAUCAGCCACAUUGGGACUGAGACACGGCCCAAACUCCUACGGGAGGCAGCAGUGGGGAAUAUUGGACAAUGGGCGAAAGCCUGAUCCAGCCAUGCCGCGUGAGUGAUGACGGCCUUAGGGUUGUAAAGCUCUUUCAUCAGGGACGAUAAUGACGGUACCUGAAGAAGAAGCCCCGGCUAACUUCGUGCCAGCAGCCGCGGUAAUACGAAGGGGGCUAGCGUUGUUCGGAAUUACUGGGCGUAAAGCGCAUGUAGGCGGGUCUUUAAGUCAGGGGUGAAAUGCCAAGGCUCAACCUUGGAACUGCCUUUGAUACUGGAGAUCUUGAGUCCGGGAGAGGUGAGUGGAACUGCGAGUGUAGAGGUGAAAUUCGUAGAUAUUCGCAAGAACACCAGUGGCGAAGGCGGCUCACUGGCCCGGUACUGACGCUGAGAUGCGAAAGCGUGGGGAGCAAACAGGAUUAGAUACCCUAGUAGUCC
rnacentral:rRNA from 1 species